rnacentral:rRNA from 1 species
AGGGUUUGAUUCUGGCUCAGGAUGAACGCUGGCGGCGUGCUUAACACAUGCAAGUCGAACGAAGCACUUCACUUUGAUUCUUCGGAUGAAGAGAGUUGUGACUGAGUGGCGGACGGGUGAGUAACGCGUGGGUAACCUGCCUCAUACAGGGGGAUAACAGUUAGAAAUGACUGCUAAUACCGCAUAAGACCACAGGACCGCAUGGUCCGGUGGUAAAAACUCCGGUGGUAUGAGAUGGACCCGCGUCUGAUUAGGUAGUUGGUGGGGUAACGGCUCACCAAGCCGACGAUCAGUAGCCGACCUGAGAGGGUGACCGGCCACAUUGGGACUGAGACACGGCCCAA